AGAUCAACUUCGGAGUUAUCUUUACUGACUCCCUUAGUUGCCUCCAAGCCCUAUCCCAGAAUCCCUUUAGAUCUAAACUCCAUUGUCCUAUUGUCCUAGAUAUCAAAAAGUCCCUUUUCUCUUGCACUCGGCAAGAGAAAGUUGUCCACCUAGUUUGGAUUCCCAGUCAUUGCGGUAUAACGGGAAAUGAAUGUGCCGACGCAUUGGCUAAAGAUGCAUGCACAUCUGAAUCAGCGGACCUUGCACACUUCUCCCUUCAAGGGCAUGACCUACUAAACGUACCUAAAUUGAGUCUUGAGACCUCGUGGCAGGAAUGGUGGAAUAUCUCCAGCAGAAAGAAGGGUAGUUCGUACUACGCUAUCCAACCGGCAGUAAAAUCGAAACCGUGGUUUACUCGUUUUAAAAAAUACCCUAAACAAGUUAUUUCGGUUCUAUGCAGGAUACGUUUAGGACAUUGUUGUACUCCGGUCUUCUUGCGCAAAAUUCGGGUGCAGGACUCAUCUCUCUGCGAGUGUGGACUGGAUGAGGGUUCCCUGGACCAUAUAUUUUUUAAUUGUCCCAAUAACUCAUCUUUUGAUUUAUAUGGUCGUCUCCAAAAACUGAAGAUUCCUCUCCCUACUAAUUUCCGUUCCCUCUUAACUUACUCCUGUCCAGAACUGCUCCAGGCGCUAUUGAUGUCCAUCCAUCGUAAUAAUAUUAAAUUAUAAACUCUGGCCUAUCUAUUUAGACCACUGUUUGUAUAAAUGUGUGCCGUCCUACUAACACGAUAAGUUACACAAGUUUGACUACAACAUCAACUUAAUUUUGUCUUUUUGUCAAUCACAAGCACUACUUGCUUCUCCUUCCACUUGUCAUUGGCAGAAUCGUCGACGUUUGCAUCGACAUGGAUUGCCAUAAAUAAAAA